rnacentral:rRNA from 1 species
GACGAACGCUGGCGGCGUGCCUAAUACAUGCAAGUCGAGCGGACCGACGGGAGCUUGCUCCCUUAGGUCAGCGGCGGACGGGUGAGUAACACGUGGGUAACCUGCCUGUAAGACUGGGAUAACUCCGGGAAACCGGGGCUAAUACCGGAUGCUUGAUUGAACCGCAUGGUUCAAUCAUAAAAGGUGGCUUUUAGCUACCACUUGCAGAUGGACCCGCGGCGCAUUAGCUAGUUGGUGAGGUAACGGCUCACCAAGGCGACGAUGCGUAGCCGACCUGAGAGGGUGAUCGGCCACACUGGGACUGAGACACGGCCCAGACUCCUACGGGAGGCAGCAGUAGGGAAUCUUCCGCAAUGGACGAAAGUCUGACGGAGCAACGCCGCGUGAGUGAUGAAGGUUUUCGGAUCGUAAAACUCUGUUGUUAGGGAAGAACAAGUACCGUUCGAAUAGGGCGGUACCUUGACGGUACCUAACCAGAAAGCCACGGCUAACUACGUGCCAGCAGCCGCGGUAAUACGUAGGUGGCAAGCGUUGUCCGGAAUUAUUGGGCGUAAAGCGCGCGCAGGCGGUUUCUUAAGUCUGAUGUGAAAGCCCCCGGCUCAACCGGGGAGGGUCAUUGGAAACUGGGGAACUUGAGUGCAGAAGAGGAGAGUGGAAUUCCACGUGUAGCGGUGAAAUGCGUAGAGAUGUGGAGGAACACCAGUGGCGAAGGCGACUCUCUGG